rnacentral:rRNA from 1 species
AACGAACGCUGGCGGCGUGCCUAACACAUGCAAGUCGUGCGAGAAAGUUCCUUCGGGAGCGAGUAAAGCGGCGCACGGGUGAGUAACACGUAGGUAACCUGCCCCCCAGUCUGGAACAACUAGAGGAAACUCUAGCUAAUGCCGGAUGAGACCACGAUCCCUUCGGGGGUUGCGGCCAAAGAUGGCCUCUACUUGUAAGCUAUCGCUGAGGGAUGGGCCUGCGGGCCAUUAGCUUGUUGGUGAGGUAACGGCUCACCAAGGCUGUGAUGGCUAGCUGGUCUGAGAGGAUGACCAGCCACACUGGGACUGAGACACGGCCCAGACUCCUACGGGAGGCAGCAGUGGGGAAUAUUGCGCAAUGGGCGAAAGGCCUGACGCAGCGACGCCGCGUGGGUGAUGAAGGCC